rnacentral:rRNA from 1 species
UGGUGGGUUGCCUUGUCAGGUUGAUUCCGGUAACGAACGAGACCUCAGCCUGCUAACUAGUCACGGUUGGUUUUACCAGCCGGCCGACUUCUUAGAGGGACUAUUGGCGACUAGCCAAUGGAAGUGUGAGGCAAUAACA